CGCCCCAAUCGCAUUGGGGCUGAAAUAGCGGGGGAAGUCCGGUGAGAGUCCGGCGCUGUGCCGCAGCGGUAAGCCCCCUUUGAGGGGACAAGCCCGAAUGCCCGGCCACGGUCGACCGCUUCC
rnacentral:ncRNA from 1 species